rnacentral:lncRNA from 1 species
AAGUAAUUUAUAUCAGGUCUAGUCAUUCUUUUAGAUCAAAAUAUAGGAGUUGGCUUGUUCUGUGGUGCACAUGUUGUUGUAACAUGCUGAACAAUUCCCAACAAUAUCAAUGCUGUGAAAUAUCAUUUUAUUCAUUAUUUCAUUCGCCAUUUAUAAUGGUAGAAGAGCGAAAGAGUAAUUAAUGUAAUAGGAUUGCUAUGGUUGACCAAAAGUGUCAAACAAUAUCACCA